rnacentral:rRNA from 1 species
UACGGGGGGGGCAAGCGUUGUUCGGAAUUACUGGGCGUAAAGGGCGCGUAGGCGGUUCGCUAAGUUGAAUGUGAAAACUCUGGGCUUAACCCAGAGCCUGCAUUCAAUACUGGCGGGCUAGAGUUCUGGAGGGGAUAGCGGAAUUCCUGGUGUAGCGGUGAAAUGCGUAGAUAUCAGGAGGAACACCAGUGGCGAAGGCGGCUCACUGGCCCGGAACUGACGCUGAGACGCGAAAGCGUGGGGAGCAAACAGG